rnacentral:rRNA from 1 species
AUGUCCGGUAGCAGCGUCGUUGUCGUCGCGUUCCUUCUUGAAGGUGUUACUUGGUAUGCGGCGUUUCGUGGUGCUAGGAGCGUGGUGGAACUCUCCGGCGGGCGCAGCGGUGGCGAGUCAUCUUCGUUUUUGUUGAUCCGCCGUUGUCGGCAUUUUUUUUCCUUUUGUGUUUUCUCUUUUUUUCUUUUGGGCGUGCCUGUGCUGCUUCCGCCCCAGCACCUAUCGUGGGUUGUAUCGAUGUUUUUGCUUUGUAAUACAAAGCAGGGGGAAACCCUUUUUCGGCAAAUAGUUUCUUUUUAA